rnacentral:rRNA from 1 species
GUAGUCCACGCCCUAAACGAUGCCAACUAGGUGUUGGGGAAGGAGACUUCCUUAGUACCGUAGCUAACGCGUGAAGUUGGCCGCCUGGGGAGUACGGUCGCAAGAUUAAAACUCAAAGGAAUUGACGGGGACCCGCACAAGCGGUGGAUGAUGUGGAUUAAUUCGAUGCAACGCGAAAAACCUUACCUACCCUUGACAUGUCAGGAACUUUCCAGAGAUGGAUUGGUGCUCGAAAGAGAGCCUGAACACAGGUGCUGCAUGGCUGUCGUCAGCUCGUGUCGUGAGAUGUUGGGUUAAGUCCCGCAACGAGCGCAACCCUUGUCAUUAAUUGCCAUCAUUCAGUUGGGCACUUUAAUGGGACUGCCGGUGACAAACCGGAGGAAGGUGGGGAUGACGUCAAGUCCUCAUGGCCCUUAUGGCCAGGGCUUCACACGUAAUACAAUGGUCGGUACAGAGGGUUGCCAACCCGCGAGGGGGAGCCAAUCCCAGAAAGCCGAUCGUAGUCCGGAUUGGGGUCUGCAACUCGACCCCAUGAAGUCGGAAUCGCUAGUAAUCGCGGAUCAGCAUGUCGCGGUGAAUACGUUCCCGGGCCUUGUACACACCGCCCGUCACACCAUGGGAGUGGGUUUCACCAGAAGUAGGUAGUCUAACCGCAAGGGGGACGCUUACCACGGUGGGAUUCAUGACUGGGGUGAAGUCGUAACAAGGUAACCAAGGG